GGAUGAACGCUGGCGGCGCGCCUAACACAUGCAAGUCGAACGAUUAAAGCACCUUCGGGUGUGUAUAAAGUGGCGAACGGCUGAGUAACACGUGGGCAACCUGCCCCUUUCAUUGGGAUAGCCACGGGAAACCGUGGAUAAUACCGAAUACUUCGAGACUUCCGCAUGGAAGACUCGAGAAAGCUCCGGCGGAGAGGGAUGGGCCCGCGGCCUGUUAGCUUGUUGGUGGGGUAACGGCCUACCAAGGCAAUGAUGGGUAGCUGGGUUGAGAGACCGACCAGCCAGAUUGGGACUGAGACACGGCCCAGACUCCUACGGGAGGCAGCAGUGGGGAAUCUUGCACAAUGGGCGAAAGCCUGAUGCAGCGACGCCGCGUGCGGGAUGAAGGCCUUCGGGUUGUAAACCGCUUUCAGCAGGGACGAGGCGAAAGUGACGGUACCUGCAGAAGAAGCCCCGGCUAACUACGUG
rnacentral:rRNA from 1 species